rnacentral:lncRNA from 1 species
CAAAGAGUGAAUAGAGAAGCUCAUCUGAACAAGUGCGGCAUUAUGUCUAUGCAUCGAGAGUGCACUGGUGCUCUGUGGAUAAGUGGAUUUGGUACCGAAGGCAUCUUUCUCUUAUUUUGCUAAGGAUGAUUCAUAGAUGGUAAGAGAGAACAAAGGACUCCUCUGACCUCACAGUGUCGACAUCCAAACAGGAGACUGGAUACAGCCAACGAGGAGCUAAGGGAUGCCCAGACACCUGAAGCCCCGGGUUCCAUCCCCAAACACUACAGAAAGUCAAACUUAAAAUAAGUACACAGUAAAGCAAAGAAUGACGUAUGUGUAUGUGUGGAAACCCAAGAGGUGAGGGAGGCAGAGUGACCAAGAAGAAGAUUGUUAUUUA